rnacentral:tRNA from 1 species
GCCCGGGUGGCGGAAUUGGUAGACGCGCUAGAUUCAGGAUCUAGUGGGCAGCUCGCCUGUAGGGGUUCGAAUCCCCUCCCGGGCA